GCUCAUCUAAUCCAGAGGCAGGAAAGAAGGGUAGUGGUGCAUUGUACCCAUCCACAUGGAUCAAUAACCUAGUUAGGAGCCAACAUGUCCUUGCCUGUGAUCUUUAACUAUCUGGUAUUAUGAUUUGAACACUAUUGAGGAAAGAAUUGUGGAUGAGGCAGCAGUGAAUUACCCAAGACUUUCUGGAUGCUCUCCUGCUUCCAGAUACAUUGGCUUCCCCAGAUGGGGUCCAUGCCACAAAACCUUAAGGCCGGUUGAGAAGA